rnacentral:sRNA from 1 species
ACUUUUUUUUGUCUGUUUGUCUGUUUGUCUGUUUGU